GAUGAACGCUGGCGGCGUGCCUAAUACAUGCAAGUCGAGCGAACGGACGAGAAGCUUGCUUCUCUGAUGUUAGCGGCGGACGGGUGAGUAACACGUGGAUAACCUACCUAUAAGACUGGGAUAACUUCGGGAAACCGGAGCUAAUACCGGAUAAUAUUUUGAACCGCAUGGUUCAAAAGUGAAAGACGGUCUUGCUGUCACUUAUAGAUGGAUCCGCGCUGCAUUAGCUAGUUGGUAAGGUAACGGCUUACCAAGGCAACGAUGCAUAGCCGACCUGAGAGGGUGAUCGGCCACACUGGAACUGAGACACGGUCCAGACUCCUACGGGAGGCAGCAGUAGGGAAUCUUCCGCAAUGGGCGAAAGCCUGACGGAGCAACGCCGCGUGAGUGAUGAAGGUCUUCGGAUCGUAAAACUCUGUUAUUAGGGAAGAACAUAUGUGUAAGUAACUGUGCACAUCUUGACGGUACCUAAUCAGAAAGCCACGGCUAACUACGUGCCAGCAGCCGCGGUAAUACGUAGGUGGCAAGCGUUAUCCGGAAUUAUUGGGCGUAAAGCGCGCGUAGGCGGUUUUUUAAGUCUGAUGUGAAAGCCCACGGCUCAACCGUGGAGGGUCAUUGGAAACUGGAAAACUUGAGUGCAGAAGAGGAAAGUGGAAUUCCAUGUGUAGCGGUGAAAUGCGCAGAGAUAUGGAGGAACACCAGUGGCGAAGGCGACUUUCUGGUCUGUAACUGACGCUGAUGUGCGAAAGCGUGGGGAUCAAACAGGAUUAGAUACCCUGGUAGUCCACGCCGUAAACGAUGAGUACUAAGUGUUAGGGGGUUUCCGCCCCUUAGUGCUGCAGCUAACGCAUUAAGCACUCCGCCUGGGGAGUACGACCGCAAGGUUGAAACUCAAAGGAAUUGACGGGGACCCGCACAAGCGGUGGAGCAUGUGGUUUAAUUCGAAGCAACGCGAAGAACCUUACCAAAUCUUGACAUCCUUUGACAACUCUAGAGAUAGAGCCUUCCCCUUCGGGGGACAAAGUGACAGGUGGUGCAUGGUUGUCGUCAGCUCGUGUCGUGAGAUGUUGGGUUAAGUCCCGCAACGAGCGCAACCCUUAAGCUUAGUUGCCAUCAUUAAGUUGGGCACUCUAAGUUGACUGCCGGUGACAAACCGGAGGAAGGUGGGGAUGACGUCAAAUCAUCAUGCCCCUUAUGAUUUGGGCUACACACGUGCUACAAUGGACAAUACAAAGGGCAGCGAAACCGCGAGGUCAAGCAAAUCCCAUAAAGUUGUUCUCAGUUCGGAUUGUAGUUCGCAAUCUCGACUACAUGAAGCUGGAAUCGCUAGUAAUCGUAGAUCAGCAUGCUACGGUGAAUACGUUCCCGGGUCU
rnacentral:rRNA from 1 species